UGAUGGUUAGAAGACAGUUAUUUUCUUGGAUCACAUCAAGAUGGAGCCUUGGUUAGCUCUAUAUUAAGCAAAAUUAUUGCAUCAAACACUUGAGUCAAGCAGGCCUUGUUUUAGCAUAAUGUAUGUAAGAAUUUUAUCAAUACAUUGCUAAUGUAACUUUCCACUUGUAGAAUGGAAGGACCUGCAAAAGAAUAACCAGUCCAUGGUUGCUGAAUUUUCAUCUGGUACUUGUCCAGCCUUUGAAACAUGUAAAUUUGUUGCCUGCAUUUUUUUCAUGGAGACUUGAGUACAGGCUGUUUUCCCUAAAGAGAGAAAUGGAAGAUAUGCAGGAGCAAGAAAAGACUGAAAAGAAACAAAGGAGAGUUUGAAAGAAACACCAUUGCUCAUGUGAACUGGCAUAAAGUGAAUGAACCAGAUUUU
rnacentral:lncRNA from 1 species